CCUAGGGAAGGGGAUAACCCCGGGAAACUGGGGWUAAUUCCGGAUAACGCAUWUAUGCUGGAAUGCUUUAUKCGUAAAAUGGAUUCGUCCKCCCAAGGAUGGGUCUGCGGCCUAUCAGGUAGUAGUGGGUGUAAUGUACCUACUAGCCUACAACGGGUACGGGUUGUGAGAGCAAGAGCCCGGAGAUGGAUUCUGAGACAUGAAUCCAGGCCCUACGGGGCGCAGCAGGCGCGAAAWCUUUACAAUGCGGGCAACCGUGAUAAGGGAACCUCGAGUGCCUGUAAAUGCAGGCUGUUCAGGUGCCUAAAACACACMUGAAGAAAGGGCCGGGCAAGACCGGUGCCAGCCGCCGCGGUAAUACCGGCGGCUCGAGUGGUGGCCKCUUUUAUUGGGCUUAAAGCGUUCGUAGCUGGGUUGUUAAGUCUCUUGGGAAAUCUGGCGGCUUAACCGUCAGGCGUCUAAGGGAUACUGGCAAUCUUGGAACCGGGAGAGGUGAGGGGUACUUCGGGGGUAGGAGUGAAAUCCUGUAAUCCUCGAGGGACCACMUGUGGCGAAGGCGCCUCACCAGAACGGCUUCGACAGUGAGGGACGAAAGCUGGGGGAGCAAACCGGAUUAKUUACCCGGGUAGUCCCAGCCGUAAMCUAUGCGSGUUAGGCUCUCCUGACCACGAGUUACCGAGGUGCCGAAGGAAACCGUGAAACGUGCCGCCUGGAAGUACG
rnacentral:rRNA from 1 species